CACACACACACACACACACACACACACACUGAACUAGAACAACAAUCAAUCUGCUGAGGAACAAGUGAGACAAGUUCUGAUUUCAUAUCAGAAGCUUUUAUAAUGAAAUCUUGCGUAUUGUGGCACAGCCGUCUUACUUUGACUGAUGAGAUGUGUCAUGUGUCUGAGUGUGAGAUUUAACCUAACAAAGAGAAUAAUCAAGUGUUGCAAUUGGUGACUUUUACUAAACAUCACCCACAUAUCCAAGAAAUGGACCUUGUAGUACAGAAUGAUGAUUUUUAUGCUUUUAUGAGAGCAUAAAUGAUGAACUGCAGCCUGAGGCUCUCAGACAGGGGCCUGUGGGCCUGGGGCUCUCAGACAGGGGCCUGUGGGCCUGAGGCUCUCAGACAGGGGCCUGUGGGCCUGGGGCUCUCAGACAGGGGCCUGUGGCCCUGAGGCUCUCAGACAGGGGCCUGUGGGCCUGAGGCUCUCAGACAGGGGCCUGUGGGCCUGGGGCUCUCAGACAGGGGCCUGUGGCCCUGAGGCUCUCAGACAGGGGCCUGUGGGCCUGGGGCUCUCAGACAGGGGCCUGUGGGCCUGGGGCUCUCAGACAGGGGCCUGUGGGCCUGGGGCUCUCAGACAGGGGCCUGUGGGCCUGAGGCUCUCAGACAGGGGCCUGUGGGCCUGAGGCUCUCAGACAGGGGCCUGUGGGCCUGGGGCUCAGGGGGACCAGCGCUCUGCAAACUGACUCUCAAACUACCAGGCAGAUGGUGUCGGGAAUCGAAAAUGCGGGAGAUACUUUAUUGUAGAAGUCUGACUUUAAGACAUUUGUGAUUAUUGUGCAGCUCUUUGGCCACAGGCAGCUUCUGUUGGGAAAUACAGGUCAGAAUAGUUCAUUGAGCCAUUUUUCUUUAAAAGCUGGAAGUCGGAAUGGGAGGAGGAAUGAAAGUAAAGUUGGUUUGAACUAACUCCAGCUCAUCAGCUCCUCUGUUCUGCCGUUCACGAGGGAAACUGACUCCUACGUCAGUGAAGCUUCAUCCUGCACUGCCUGAUCAACUAACUGUUGAUCUUGUUCAGACGUUAUUAGUGAUCAGCCACACCGACUCUGAUAAGCUAACAACAUAUAUAUUAUAUCAAACUUCAAACUAUCUACAUGUAUUUCGAGCUGCUUUAGCUGCUAGCUGUUCCUGGAACCGUGAGAACAGACAAUCCCCUGGAUUACCUCAAUACUGAGGAAAAGUACUGAAUUGAAUUACUGUCGGGCAAAAUCUGUAGUUGCUGUAUGUGGAGCGUCUUUUCAUAGAUUAGAUUGUAUUUCUGUACGUUUGUUUCUUGAGCGGCUGAGACACUGAUAUCUCAGGUUAACCUCGUGAAUAUACAGGAAUCUAAUGUGCACUGAUAUCAUGCACACAGUCCAGCAGGUCGGUGACGAGGUUUGUCACCAAAAAUCUGCCUAAUGUUUAUGAACCGGGAUCUUUCCAGGAAAGACCUGGAACCAGUGACAGGAAGAGCCUAUCAUCAGGAAUAUUCCAGGAUUUCGGAAACAGAUGUAUUUGUUAUGCAGGGAAAUCAUUUGCAUCUAAAUGUGUUGAUAAACAGCAUCAUUAUCAUAACAGUGUUGAUCCAUCUAAAGUGUCCUUGGGUAAACCCCCCCGCCCCUCCAGGAGCUCUGCUGCAGGCUGCUGCCCCACUCCGCUCUCUUCACAAGGCAACAACACGUCUGUUUACACUGUGCAAACUGUGAAUAACAUCACAUCUGCUCAGCUCUCAAGGUUAAUGGAAAAACUCCGGAGAAGUGACGAGUGAGCCUCAUGACGUGUUGAGUUUAGCACUCUGUGUUCCAGACAGACGUCCAUCCAAACACACGUGUAGUAACAUACAGUUCAGAUGGGACCGAAUGUCUCGUGCUUGAUAAUCUCCACUGUGUCACAUGACAAACUCAAAGUGGACAGACAGGAACUGAAACCAAUUGCUGCCUGGAAGGAAGGAACUCAAUUCAAAAACUUGUGAGCUUCCCCUGUUCAAAGAGGCACUUUGUUGGACACUCACUGCAGAAGGUCCCAGCUGGAAGCCCUGGACAGUGAUCCGCACCGUGUCUCCCACCUUGGCCUUACCGGGACUCAUGGACAGCUUGGGUCCUCUGGGAGCAGCUGAUAGAAAAGUAAAAUACCACGUUGGACUGUUGUACAGUAAGACAACACUCAGCUCUCAGAUGUCUGAAUGAUAAAGUCAUAAUAGUACAUUGGUUACCUAACUGUGGCUGCCCACAUUUCCAGGAUGUACUCACUUUCUGUUUAUUGUUCUCAGUUCACUUUGAAUGAAUGAAAGCAGUGACUUGCGCCAGUUCAUUCUUCGUAGCCCUGAAUUCGUCCUCCAACAAAUGUGAUUGUGUGACGUUUGAAUCUGAACAGCUCUCAUUAUACAUCUCAUUAGCUCUUAACUGUGUCAGGACUCCUGGGGUGCGUCUGACUUGAAUUGAUGCUGCGUUGAAAAAGGGAACUGACUGACCCUAAACCCCGCCCCUUUCCUUCACUGGUCCAAUCACAAGAACUCAGACAACCUUUCUGGAGAAGUACGUCCCCAAAUUAAUGCCAGGAGGUUGAGUCUUAUUCAGUAUAUUGCUUUGGUAAAUCUACAGUUGUACAGAUGUGUAACUUUAGAGUUUAGAGAACAUUGUGCAUCUUUUGGGCUGCAGGAGUGCAAAGCACGCUAACAGGUGCUUCGGUAUCCUGCAGUAUGUUGUAGGCUACAUUUAUCUAAUGACUUGUGAAAUUUUACUCACCCUGAUAAUUAUGUUGUACUUGUGUUGUACUUUUACAGUAAAUACAAAAAAACUGCCAACAUGUAAUUAUGUUGUACAAUGACAGUAGCAGAAAUUAAGUGAUGAUUAAAGUAUUUAAAUCAAUAUGCAAAACAAUUAUUAACACUAACUAAUGAACAAUGAGUCUCUCACCGUGUGGGCAGAUUUUCCAGGGACCUCUACAAUCGGCAAGGUGAGGGUCACAUGACUGUCCGGUGUAGCCGAGCAAGCACUACUGCCACCGAGCUAAUAUGGGGAGUUUAUCUAUGUUCCCAGGGUCCUAAGUUCCCUAACCCCCUAACCCUAGAACUGGGGAACAUAGGACCCUUUGUCAUGUUCCCAUUAUGUGCCACAUCAAUCUGGG